UGGCUCAGAACGAACGCUGGCGGCAGGCUUAACACAUGCAAGUCGAGCGCCCCGCAAGGGGAGCGGCAGACGGGUGAGUAACGCGUGGGAAUCUACCGUACCCUACGGAAUAACGCAUGGAAACGUGUGCUAAUACCGUAUACGCCCUAUGGGGGAAAGAUUUAUCGGGGUAUGAUGAGCCCGCGUUGGAUUAGCUAGUUGGUGGGGUAAAGGCCUACCAAGGCGACGAUCCAUAGCUGGUCUGAGAGGAUGAUCAGCCACAUUGGGACUGAGACACGGCCCAAACUCCUACGGGAGGCAGCAGUGGGGAAUAUUGGACAAUGGGCGCAAGCCUGAUCCAGCCAUGCCGCGUGAGUGAUGA
rnacentral:rRNA from 1 species